CAGGGUCAGUAGUUAUAUACAGGGUCAGUAGCUAUAUACAGGGUCAGUUCCAGUGUCAGUAGUUAUAUACAGGGUCAGUAGUUAUAUACAGGGACAGUUCCAGGGUCAGUAGUUAUAUACAGGGUCAGUAGUUAUAUACAGGGACAGUUCCAGGGUCAGUAGCUAUAUACAGGGUCAGUAGUUAUAUACAGGGUCAGUAGUUAUAUACAGGGUCAGUAGUUAUAUACAGGGUCAGUAGCUAUAUACAGGGUCAGUAGCUAUAUACAGGGUCAGUUCCAGGGUCAGUAGUUAUAUACAGGGUCAGUAGCUAUAUACAGGGUCAGUAGCUAUAUACAGGGUCAGUAGUUAUAUACAGUAUCAGUUCCAGGGUCAGUAGUUAUAUAAAGGGUCAGUAGCUAUAUACAGGGUCAGUAGUUAUAUACAGGGUCAGUAACUAUAUACAGGGUCAGUAGCUAUAUACAGGAUCAGUUCCAGGGUCAGUAACUAUAUACAGGGUCAGUAGUUAUAUACAGGGUCAGUAGUUAUAUACAGGG
ensembl:lncRNA